CGGGAUGGGCCAAUCAGUGACGAUGCCUGGGGGGCAGAGGGUCGUCGGUUCGAAUCCGGCCGUCCCGACCA
rnacentral:tRNA from 1 species